CCCAGGUGCCACAGGGCUGGGCUGCCCUAGCACAGCUGCGCCUUAUCGGCAGCUCAGGGCAGGGCCCGCCCUCAACGCCUCUUAAACCCCCACCAGAGCUUGCUGGGAUCCACUGGGGGCUGCUGGGAGCUCAGGGGCUCAUUCAGGGCUUGCUGCAGCAUGCUGCCAGGCUCCCACGCUGCUCUCUCUUUUUGGGGAGGGUGCUGGGCUUCUGCUGGGCUUUUUUGGGGUCUGUUUCUGCUGGGCUCCUCUGCUCUUUUGGAGUCAGCGUGGGGUGGCCCUGCUGGGCUCUGGCUGUGUUUUCUUCUUUUUGGUGGUGGUAUGGGAUUGCUGUUGGUGCCCCUGCCCUCUUUGGGUCCAGCACAGGGCUGCUCUUGGCUCCCCUCUGCUCCUUAGAGCCUAUGCAGCACUUUUGCAAAGCAGCUCUCCUAGCCCCUUUGUGGGGUUAGUUAAGGGCAGUUUGCAGGUGCUGCAGCAACGGAGGAGAGCAGAACGGAGCUGUGCCCCUUAGCCCGGAGCUGCUGGGGGUCAGAAGGUUCGCAAGGGGCUGCUUUCAAAACCCCAAAUGCUGGGGAUAUCCAUUUAAUCACGUUUGUUCUCUCUCCUUUUUGUUUCUCUCUUGCAGGGCGAGAGCUCCAGCGAGGAUCAGCCCGCAGUACCGAGCGGCUGUGGCAGCGAUGGGAGCGUGGAGCUGAGUCCCGGGGGUCCGGGAGAGCACGUUCCCUCGUGCCCAGACCUCGGGGGCUCUUUGCUUGCAGCAGGAGGAUCCUUCUGCCCUUCUAUUGGGGUCGAUGCAGUGCUGCUGCUGGGCUCCCCAUCUUCUUUUUCUGGGUUCUACUGGACUCCCCGAGGCUGAGCACAGCCCUGGGGGUGCCCACUGCCCCCCUUGGUUGCAGCAGCAGGGGCGUGCAGGAUGGAACCACGGUUGUCCCCUCCCCAGCCCUAUUGCUGCCGGGAGUAAGAAGCAAUGCCAGGGACAGCUAAGUUGAAAGCAGUGCUUUAAAUCACUUGCUGUGCUUUUAUCUUUUUGAUUUCCCCAAAAAGCUGUUGCAAGAACCACAGGAUUGUAGGUGCUGGAAGGGACCUCCGGAGGUAAUGAAGUUAACCCCUCUGCAAACUGCAUCAUAGAGGUGCUCCAGGCCCUGCAUCGUCUUUGUGGCCUUCUGCCGGACUCCUUCCAGGAGAUCCCUCUCUUUGUUUGUACUGAGGAGCCUGGAAUGGGAUGCAGUACUGCAGGUGUGUAGCUCUGCAGCUUGUCCAGGUCCUGUGGAAUGGCAGCACAGCCUUCCGGUGCAUCAGCUGCUCUUCCAAGGUAGAUGACAUUGGCUCUCUCCUCCAUCUGCAUGCCUGGCGAUGCCAUUGUGGAAGACACCGAGGGCCUUGGUUUGUGGGUUCCACUACAGCAGCAGCCCCUCAGAGGAGGUUUGAGGAGCUGUUCUCGCCACAGGGGCAGGGCUGGAGCAAGGUCCUGGUGCAGUCUGUCUAAGGGAGGAAGGCUGCCAGCUGUGCCCUUGUCCCCUGUUGGGGUUGUGGGGUGAUGGAGCUGCUUUCUGCAGAAGGUGCAUGGCGUCCAGGAGGAGCUGAGGGGAUCUGGCAGCCAUUGGAUGUUUUGUGUGGCUUCUGUGAGCAGUGCCAAUUGUCCAGCUUUCCCAGGGUGUGGAGGAGCAGCAUGAUGGGGGCUCCCUGUGCGAGACCAAGGAUUUAAGCUGCUGCUGCUCGGAGUGGUGUGGUUCCCCUUCUGUCUGCAGUAAGCUUGAGGUGGCAGCAGAAGUGGUAGAUUUCAGAUAAUGUCUGCAGGAGAAGAGAACAUGCUUGAGCUGGAGCUUGAAAUAAUGCUCUUGAGUGGGGAGGCUUGCUGCUUUGCUCUAUCAAAGGAAACAAAAACUAAAUUGGUAAAUCAGUUUAACAAAAAGUACAAAACAGAAAUGCUUCUGAGCCUCUUUAUCUUAUCGUAAGAGAUGUAUAAAGAAAUAAAAUAUAGUUUUCUGUGUGUGCCUUAGUCACAGCAAAUAGGAUAAAUGAAAACUGAGAUUCUUUAGCAGAACUAGGAUACAGGAGCGAGUGCUUCUAAACAGAAGUCACUCCAAACAAUUUCUUGUUGUUGCAGACUUUACCUUUUGCUGUGUCUUAUUCCUUUACUUUGAGCCUAUCUCUGAGUAACUUUAUCAAAAGAGAUUGUGGAUAUUCUCUAAACAAAGAAGCAGGGCUUUAACUUCUCAUAUCAUUGUGAGUGUAUCUGCCUUAUCAGCUUGCAGAAACUGUUUGUUAACUGCCUUUCCCCUGCAGUGCCAAUAAACUUUCCACUCCUCCUGAAUAAAAGUCUCCUCUGUUCCAUUAACAUUCACAUGCAGAAAGAACUUAACUUCUCAAGAAAGCAAACUAUGUUCAUCAAUAUCUAAGUCAAUAUUCAUCAACAGCUAAUGUAACUAACAAUAUCUAACUAAAAUAGCUACUCUAACUAAAUAUCGAGUAAACUGUAGAGUUAACAAUUACGUGCUUUUCUUUAGAGCAAGGCAACUCAUGAGGUUUGAUGUAAAGACAAAAGAAAUCUGGCACUCACCCUCUAAUGCUUGGAGAUCUGCUCUUCAUCCUCUGCUCCCUCGAAGCUGCUUCAUUUCAGGUACCCUUAUGCAUCUAGAAGAAAGCGAGUAGCUGCAUUGAAGAAUGUUUUCCAAUAUGUACAAGUUUGUACUGAUAUUGAUGGUUAAAUGUUAUUAAUAAAUGGGAAAGAAUAAAUAUUUGUUACAGCUGACUACUAUCAUUACACUGUGUCUCUACAUAAGAGUAUGUCUAUAUGUUGUUUCUUCUAGAAGCAUGCAAUACAGAACAAGGUGAGCACUGAGAAAGCUGUAGGUCCUGGGAGCUCUGCAGCGUCCCU
ensembl:lncRNA